rnacentral:rRNA from 1 species
GACGAACGCUGGCGGCGUGCUUAACACAUGCAAGUCGAACGGAAAGGCCCUGCUUUUGUGGGGUGCUCGAGUGGCGAACGGGUGAGUAACACGUGAGUAACCUGCCCUUGACUUUGGGAUAACUUCAGGAAACUGGGGCUAAUACCGGAUAGGAGCUCCUGCUGCAUGGUGGGGGUUGGAAAGUUUCGGCGGUUGGGGAUGGACUCGCGGCUUAUCAGCUUGUUGGUGGGGUAGUGGCUUACCAAGGCUUUGACGGGUAGGCGGCCUGAGAGGGUGACCGGCCACAUUGGGACUGAGAUACGGCCCAGACUCCUACGGGAGGCAGCAGUGGGGAAUAUUGCACAAUGGGCGGAAGCCUGAUGCAGCAACUCCGCGUGCGGGAUGACGGCCUUCGGGUUGUAAACCGCUUUCGCCUGUGACGAAGCGUGAGUGACGGUAAUGGGUAAAGAAGCACCGGCUAACUACGUG